rnacentral:rRNA from 1 species
GACGAACGCUGGCGGCGUGCUUAACACAUGCAAGUCGAGCGGAAAGGCCCUUCGGGGUACUCGAGCGGCGAACGGGUGAGUAACACGUGAGCAACCUGCCCUAGGCUUUGGGAUAACCCCGGGAAACCGGGGCUAAUACCGAAUAGGACCACUGGUCGCAUGGCUGGUGGUGGAAAGUUUUUCGGCCUGGGAUGGGCUCGCGGCCUAUCAGCUUGUUGGUGGGGUGAUGGCCUACCAAGGCGACGACGGGUAGCCGGCCUGAGAGGGCGACCGGCCACACUGGGACUGAGACACGGCCCAGACUCCUACGGGAGGCAGCAGUGGGGAAUAUUGCACAAUGGGCGGAAGCCUGAUGCAGCGACGCCGCGUGAGGGAUGACGGCCUUCGGGUUGUAAACCUCUUUCAGCAGGGACGAAGCGCAAGUGACGGUACCUGCAGAAGAAGCGCCGGCCAACUAC